rnacentral:rRNA from 1 species
AUACGUAGGUGACAAGCGUUAUCCGGAUUUACUGGGCGUAAAGGGCGUGUAGGCGGUCUUGCACGCCAGAAGUGAAAUUCCUGAGCUCAACUCGGGCGCUGCUUCUGAAACUGCAGGACUUGAGUGCUGGAGGGGAUCGCGGAAUUCCUAGUGGAGCGGUAAAAUGCGGAGAGAUUAGGAAGGACACCGGUGGCGAAGGCGGGUAGCUGGGCAGUGACUGGCGGUGAGGCGCGAAAGCGUGGGGAGCGAACAGGGUUAGGUACCCUGGGAGGCCGCGGUGUAAACGAUGGUGACUAGGUGGUGGGGGACUGAACCCUUCCGUGCCGCAGUUAACACAAUAAGUCAUCCACCUGGGGAGUACGGCCGCAAGGUUGAAACUCAAAGGAAUUGACGGGG